GACGAACGCUGGCGGCGUGCUUAACACAUGCAAGUCGAGCGGUAAGGCCCUUUCGGGGGUACACGAGCGGCGAACGGGUGAGUAACACGUGGGUGACCUGCCCUCAGCUCUGGGAUAAGCCCGGGAAACCGGGUCUAAUACCGGAUAUGACUCCAUGACGCAUGUUGUGGGGUGGAAAGCCUUGUGCGGCUGAGGAUGGGCCCGCGGCCUAUCAGCUUGUUGGUGGGGUGAUGGCCACCAAGGCGACGACGGGUAGCCGGCCUGAGAGGGCGACCGGCCACACUGGGACUGAGACACGGCCCAGACUCCUACGGGAGGCAGCAGUGGGGAAUCUUGCGCAAU
rnacentral:rRNA from 1 species